CGGCUGCCGUCCGCGCGCGAGGGAGGCCGGGCGAGCGCGGGAGGCCGGGGCGCCCCCUUCCGCUCCCGAGGAGAUGAGCAGGUGGGGAGGCGGGAAAGAGGGCCCAGGGAGCCGCGGCUUCGCUGCGCCGAGGGCUGGGAGCGCCCGAGGCCGGGGUGCUGCACCCCAGCACCCAGGGAAGCCACCGAACAAAGUCACGGCUCUCCUUGUGCUUGUAACCGUCAGGCCUCUGGGACCCUGCACGGGGGCUGCCCGCACCGCACCGCCUGUCAUUCAGAAGGCCCUGGACUGACCUCCCGUCCACCCCGGGAUUGCCCCUGGCGCGCGCUUGGUUGGGCGAGGAGAAUCAUGCCUCAAACUGCACCUUCUUCUGUGAGGCAUCUCCCUGUUCUUUGCUAUCCCUUCCUUUCCUCCCGGUACUCUUGCCUUCUAGCAUGGAAAUCUAUUGGCUGUUUUCAUGGCUUUAUAACCUUUCUUAAGCUGGGAAUACCCGACCCACCUCAGGAAGCUGUCGUUCCAAGUGUGUCUAAAACCUGCCGUCCUCUCCCUGGCCCGGUAAUCAUCAUGCUGUGCCGUGUACCUACUCAGACUCAGCCGCCGCCCUGCGAGUGUGUGACUUGUCGUCAUUAGUACUCCACUCAGGUGUAGUGGGUGCCUACUACAUCCUCGGUAGGGUGCUUGGUUCUACCAGGGAGACAAAGGAGUCAGACAGUUGUCCUUUAUUGUGUGUGGGCGGGGAAAUAUUCAUUUGGGCCCUUUCUCCUUUCGAAGGUACGGUUGACCAGAAGUCCUUUUGCUCUUGUUCACUUCAUGCUAUUGUCUACAACACCUGUUUCUGGGCAUCAACCACGACUACUACUGUUGGGGGGGGGGACCCCUAAAUUUGUAACCCGUUUGUAGACAUGGUCAGUUGAUCAAGUAACUCAUCCUCCCUGAGCCUCAGAAUCUUUGUGUUAAUGGGCGUAAUCAGACACAAAUGUCACAGUAGGAUGUUUGUUGGAAUCAAAGUCACCAGUAGAUAAUGGCCACGAAAGCCGUUUGUGAGACAUACAUCAUGGAAGAAAAUGUAGUGUAUUUGCUGAUAACUUAUAAACCCUUCCAGGACCUUAGACAAGUGCCUGUCUACAUGGUUUGUCCACAGCUGCCUUUUUUGGGGGGUACUGGGGAUCGGACUCCGGACCUUGUGCUUUUGAGGCAGGCAGCAGAACCACUGAGCUAAAUCCCCAGUCCCAUAGCUACCUUUUAAAAAAAGUAUCUGAAGCCAACUUCAGCAUCUUCCCCCAUUCCACAAGUUGCUUCAUUUCUUGUGCAGUGGACCUGGAUACAAAUUGUUCUGCCUGGAAAGGUUUAUGAAUCACAAGACAACCAACAUCAACAAGUUCUACUUUGCACGUUGAGUACCAAACAAAUGACAAUUUCAUUGGAAUGAAAUUUUCCUAUCAAAAUUCGUUGAGUACUAAAUUCGACCAGUUUUAAAACAGUUGAGUAGCAUGGUAUGACUGUAUUAUAUUGGAAAUGGCACUUGUAUCUUUCAGUUAACCUAGUUAGAAGUUAGUUUAUUUAACACAUUUCAUUGACCCAGGCUUGAAAGCUUAGCAUUGAUUAUUGCUUCUCAUCUAGAUCCUACCCUUGAAAACAUGCUCAAAUAUUAUCUUUUCACUGAUGCUUCCUAAUCUCCCUACUUGAAAUAAAUCUUUGCACCUCAGUGCUUCCAUAGCAUUUUAUUUAUUUCAUAAUAGCAUAUUAUACUUAAUUGUAUUUUAAUAAAGCAAGACAGUGGGCUUGCUGCAAAUGCUGAAUUCAGUGAUGAUAAAGUGCUGACAGCCUACAGAGAGGAAAUGGAUACCUGUGAGCACUAUCGGGUAAGGUUUCACAUAGGAGAGAGGCCAAUGUCAUCCUUGUGAGGGGCCGACCAGGCCAUGGGCAGGGAGAUGAAGUUCCAGGUGGCGAGGAGACUCACAGCUUUUAGGGGACAGAGUUGGGGUGAUUUGACUUGCCUUGAAUAACACGUAACACAAUGCUAUUCACAACACUGAAUGAUUUUCCCGGUAACUUUUUGAAUUAUCUUUGUGUUCCAUGGAGGAUGUGUGUAGUAUGAGUUGUAGAAUCACAAGAAAUCCAAUUCUCAAAUUGUAUACAUUAGCUAUGAAGAAACGUUUCUUGUUGGGAGACAAGAAACUCUUUGUUAAAUUUUUCCCUUCAGUGCUGGGAAUGGAACCAAAGGCCUGGUAUAUACUAGGCCAGUGCUCUAUCACUGAGGCACACUCCCAACCCAAGAAACUCUUCAAAGGGUGACCUGCUUCUAGAGCCUCCUCACGAAGCUAAUUUUCUCCCUUUCUCGUUGUUUCUAGGGCAGAGUUUUAAUGAAACAGGAAAUUUUCAUCUCUCACAACAAAUUUACAGAUAGCUAUCACAUCCAGGAAAUGUUUGUAUGCCAAGGCCAUUACAGCUACAAGAAAUGCUGCAGUAGCAAAGUUCAGUAAGAAGAAAGAAGGAAACAUCGAGAAGAUUGAAAGGCUCCCAGUAUUUAGUUGUCCAUGUUCCUGUUCCUAUUGUUUUGUUUUGGUUUUCUCUUACUGUAAUAAGCAACUUUAUUUACUAAUAUAAGUCACCAUGAAUCCCCAGCCCCAAAAGAAUGGCUCUAGUGUUUUUUAAAAUUAUAUUACCCUUUUCGUAAAAAAUGCUUCUUCAAUUGAACAAUUCCAAUUAGGAUUCUUCAUUGAGGAAUCAGUAACUGCCUUGAUUUAGUAUUAUUUGGAAGCUUUUGUGUUUUUUUAAAUUGCUUUAUGUAGAAAUUAGAGCAAGAUGUGGGAUGAUUCCACUCAGUUUCUGUGAAGUCUUGCCAUUCAAAAUUAUUAUUAUGCAAGACCAUUAUAAAAGUACAUACACUGUCAAGCUUACCCAGAAGGCAAUAAGUGGCAUCCAAAUGCAAGAAGUAGGCUCCAAAAUUUCAGUUUCGACAUGUGAAUUUUUCUGGGGGAGGAGAUCAUGAUGCAAUGCAGCAUAGCUCACUAUCUGGGAGUUUCAGGGUCUGAACAUGCAAUCUAAAUUCCUCCUGGGUUUGGAUCCAACUGGGGUUUCCCACACUCUAGUUUAAAUUUUGACAGUGCUUCUUCUGCCUUCGGUAGCUGGCUGGGACUUCCUGUGUGGAGGCAGUGGUUCCAGGAAUCUACUAGUUAGUUGGUACCUUUUUUGGUUGGUCUGAUGUGGGGAUUGAACUGAGAGAAGAUGAUUGAACAAGGGAUGACCCAGGAGCUAACCAUUUUCCAGACUGUCUCCUCUUCAAGAACAGCUGGAGAACUUACGCUGCCUUCCUUGGAAGACAGGAAGCUGAGUGGGGAAGAGGAGUCAAGCUCCAGGGCAUUAUAUGUUUAUCACAUACACUGUAAAGUGGAAACAUACGUUGCCAGCAUUAUAUGAAUUAUAGUAGAUCCAUAUGGCAGAAUAGUAUAUAUCAACAAAAUUGCUGUUUUUCAGCUGAGGGUGUAGCUCAGUGGUAAAGUGCAUGCUUAGCAUGAGAGGCCAUAGGUUCAAUCUCCAGCACCAAAAUUAAAUAAAAUAAAAUUUCAUAGAAAGUGUACUGACAUAAACAUUAAGCAUUAUUAAUUAUUAAUAGCCAUUGAUAUUAUUAUAAGUGAAAAUAGGACAUAUUUAAAUGUUAUAUGGUUUGGAUGUAUGUACAUACAAAAUAAUAAAAAAUAUGUCAGUGGGGACAGUGCUAUAUGGGUGUGCUAUUUGGUGUAUAGAUGAUUUAAAAAAUAUAUUUCUACAUAUUUUUUAUCCAUGUAGGAUUGAACUCAGGGUCCUAGAACUGAGCUAUAGCCCCAGCCCUUUUGUAUUUUUUAUUUUGAGACAGGAUUUCUCUAAGUCAGUUGCUCAGGCGGAGCUGAAAAUUGGGAUCUUCCACCCUCCCCUCUAAGAGUGCUGGAAUUAUAGGCAUCUACCACCACACCUCAUUUCUAGUGACCUUAUCUCUACAUUUUCCAACUUUUAUAUGAUGAAUAUGUGUUUCUUUUAUACUGAUAAUUUUUAAAAAUUCAACUAUCUUCCCUGGUUAGAUAAAUAAUCAAGUAAUGACAUACAGUAUACUAACCCAGUUUCUAUAAUACAACGGUCUUUUCAGUUACUCCUCACUAUUUGUCUGAGUUAGUGUAGGAUGUAGGCAGUGAUGAACUAAGCUGAUAGUGGAACAGUUCAUUUUUCUAUAAGUAGGAAGGAAGGAAAGCUCUUCUGAGUUCUCAAGAGUCAUUACGCAAAAAAAAAUUUCAAAAUGUUUUUACAUUUUUACUCCAAAAAAUUGGCUCCAAAAGAGAACUGUGAAAUCAAUACCAAUCGUAAACAUUUGAUUAAAUGUCUGCAAAACAUACCUUGAGUUUCUUAAUUAGAAUAAAAACUGUGAUUACA
rnacentral:lncRNA from 1 species